rnacentral:rRNA from 1 species
GACGAACGCUGGCGGCGUGCCUAAUACAUGCAAGUUGAGCGAUGAAGAUUGGUGCUUGCACCAAUUUGAAGAGCAGCGAACGGGUGAGUAACGCGUGGGGAAUCUGCCUUUGUGCGGGGGACAACAUUUGGAAACGAAUGCUAAUACCGCAUAACAACUUUAAACAUAAGUUUUAAGUUUGAAAGAUGCAUUUGCAUCACUCAAAGAUGAUCCCGCGUUGUAUUAGCUAGUUGGUGAGGUAAAGGCUCACCAAGGCGAUGAUACAUAGCCGACCUGAGAGGGUGAUCGGCCACAUUGGGACUGAGACACGGCCCAAACUCCUACGGGAGGCAGCAGUAGGGAAUCUUCGGCAAUGGACGAAAGUCUGACCGAGCAACGCCGCGUGAGUGAAGAAGGUUUUCGGAUCGUAAAACUCUGUUGGUAGAGAAGAACGUUGGUGAGAGUGGAAAGCUCAUCAAGUGACGGUAACUACCCAGAAAGGGACGGCUAACUACGUG